GGGGACGCCUGAAGCCGGUGGCGAACCCGCAAGGGGCGGAGCCGUCGAAGGCGGGACCAGCGAUUGGAACG
rnacentral:rRNA from 1 species